UACGUAGGGUGCGAGCGUUAAUCGGAAUUACUGGGCGUAAAGCGUGCGCAGGCGGUCUGUUAAGACCGAUGUGAAAUCCCCGGGCUUAACCUGGGAACUGCAUUGGUGACUGGCAGGCUUUGAGUGUGGCAGAGGGAGGUAGAAUUCCACGUGUAGCAGUGAAAUGCGUAGAGAUGUGGAGGAAUACCGAUGGCGAAGGCAGCCUCCUGGGCCAACACUGACGCUCAUGCACGAAAGCGUGGGGAGCAAACAGGAUUAGAUACCCGUAGUA
rnacentral:rRNA from 1 species